AGGACGAACGCUGGCGGCGUGCUUAACACAUGCAAGUGGAGCGACGAACCGGGGCUUGCCCCGGGGCAGAGCCGCGAACGGGUGAGUAACACGUGGGUUACCUGCCCCAAUGACCGGGACAACCCGAGGAAACUCGGGCUAAUACCGGAUGUGGUCUUCGGACGAAAGGAAGCUUCGGCCUCCGCAUUGGGAUGGGCCCGCGGCGCAUUAGCUUGUUGGUGGGGUAACGGCCUACCAAGGCGACGAUGCGUAGCUGGUCUGAGAGGACGAUCAGCCACACUGGGACUGAGACACGGCCCAGACUCCUACGGGAGGCAGCAGUAGGGAAUUUUCCACAAUGGGCGAAAGCCUGAUGGAGCAACGCCGCGUGCAGGAUGAAUGCCUUAGGGUUGUAAACUGCUUUUAUCUGUGACGAAUAUGACGGUAGCAGAUGAAUAAGGAUCGGCUAACUCCGCGCCAGCAGCCGC
rnacentral:rRNA from 1 species